GGGAAGCUAUGCUGAAGCAGGAAACUCAGUGGCAUUUCCGACUGAUUCAGUAUGCACACGGCGAAAAGCCCCGCGGCCAGUCAGCGAUAAGGGGAGAGGGGAAAUGACUUGCAGGAGUCGCAGAUGACUGAGUGAUGAGAUCAUUAAGUGCAUUCGCGAUGAGAAAGUCAGUUGAGAAAGUCAGUUGCUAGAGAAAGUCUUUUUCAGCCUUUGGUGAUGUUUUUUUGUUGUUGUCGCGUUCUGGUUUUUGUAGCAUGUAACUGCGGAGUGUCGCGCCAUGGAAAGGUGUCUGCAACCCCGGGCUCCCUCCUGCACGACUCUUGGCGUUUGCAACAGCAAGGGGCGGAAGAAGACAACUCGAGUCCGGAGACAGACAACCACAAGAAGCUGAAAUCGCCAUGGUGAAGAUGAUUGACAAGGUGGAGAUGAUUGACAUUGGUCAUCCAUUCUUCUACCGGUUUCAGUCUCACAGAAAAAGCAGCCAACAAGUGCUCAGCAUAUGUGGGAACUCCUUCAAGACUGUUGGAAUAACAUUCCAGGUGAACUUGGUUGAGAGAAUGCCAAGAGUGUGCAAAGCUGAUUUGAAGAAUCUCAAAUAUAAAAUAUAUUUAGAUUUGUUAAACACUUUUUUGGUUACUACAUGAUUCCAUAUGUGUUAUUUCAUAGUUUAGAUUUUUUUUUCACGAUUAUUCUAUAAUUUAGAAAAUAGUAUAUAAUAAAGAAAAAACCCUUGAACGAGGUAUUCUGAAACGUUUGACCGACAGUGUACAAUACAUGUAAAGUUCAUUAGAGGGUUUGUCAUCCUGUCUGUCUGCAUUCUACAUCUCUUCUCAGGCAGAUGUUACAGCUCAGACACUGUUGGCAGAAUACUGUUCUGAGUCCUUUGUGUUCUCACACUUUUCUCACACUUUACUCUGUGACCUCUAUGUUCUCACAGGGCUGUGACGUAAUUAAGCAAUAAGGCACGAAGGGGUGUGGUAUACGGCCAAUAUACCACGGCUAAGGGCUGUUCUAAAGGACGACGCAAA